UAACCAUUCUUUAGAAGGGCUUCUGCUUCGAAAAUCUAUUUAAAUAGCUGUCAUCACUUUCAUUAAGUCACUUUCGCUGAGCUGUUCCUUGGGAUGUGAGCUCUCAUACGAUUACAUCAUGCUGCACAGGAAUUCAGACCACGUGGUAGCGAAUAUGGGAAUGUUGAAGUUGGAAACAAGGAUACCUCAUCUAACCUGGAAAAGCUAAACUACCUCUACUCUUGCAGCAACAUUCUGAGUAAAGGUUGUUGCUGUAUUCACAAUUGUUGGGAGAAAAAGGGAUAAGAGCUGGCUUUACCUUCCAAUUGUUGUGAGCUGGGGCUUUUUACUCAGGUUGUAUUAGGACCCCAUUGAUCUCCAAACGCAAGCUCUUGGAGUCCUCUUCACAUUUUGCUAUGCUUGAUUUUAUGGGUGCAAAACAUGUUGCUCGUUGGUCAUAUGCUCCGCAUGACACUCAGUGGGAGCGUCUCGGUAUUGCGGAAAAUGUCAUCUCUAGUUAUGAAAGGUGUAUUAAUACCGUCGCACCUGUACUGUGUGACAAGUGCACGUUCCGAUUGUAGUCGUUGGAAGAAAUUGGCUGUUACAGUUGUUGCGGGAAAGGAAAUGUCGUGACCGGUCGUUGCAGUAACGUUGAAAUUGAAAAUUAAGUUACGCCAAAAAUUGACUGGAAUAAAUGAAUAAUUAACGAAG